AUGAGGGCGUGUGGGCUUAAUAUCCC
rnacentral:rRNA from 1 species